GCGCGAAAACUUUACAAUGCAGGAAACUGUGAUAAGGGAACCCCGAGUGCCCGUAUACGCGGGCUGUCCGGGUGUAUAAAAAGCAUCUGAAGAAAGGGCCGGGCAAGACCGGUGCCAGCCGCCGCGGUAAUACCGGCGGCUCGAGUGGUGACCACUUUUAUUGGGCUUAAAGCGUUCGUAGCUGGACUCUUAAGUCUCUUGGGAAAUCCCGCGGCUCAACCGUGGGGCGUUUAAGAGAUACUGGGAGUCUAGGAACCGGGAGAGGUAAGAGGUACUUCGGGGGUAGAAGUGAAAUUCUGUAAUCCUCGAGGGACCACCGAUGGCGAAGGCAUCUUACCAGAACGGCUUCGACAGUGAGGAACGAAAGCUGGGGGAGCGAACGGGAUUAGAUACCCCGGUAGUCCCAGCUGUAAACGAUGCGCGUUAGGUGUACUGGUGACCACGAGUCACUGGGGUGCCGAAGGGAAACCGUGAAACGUGCCGCCUGGAAGUACGUCGAACAGGCUAA
rnacentral:rRNA from 1 species